CAGAGGUCUCAUGACUUUACCACAUCCCUAAGGUUGCUGGAGUUAGGUCUCCAUAGAGGAGCUGUGGGGGUUGCAGGCAUUCAGUCCAUAGCAUCCAAGACCCCAAGUCAGCCCCUUCACACAGCAGCAAACUAUGAUGCCGACAGGAAGAUUUUGCUUUGUUAGUCUCUCGAGUUUCACUUUUGUGGGACAUGGUUUAUAUGAAAUAUUUCUUUUCUGAUUUAUCAAACAACCAGGGGCAGAAUGAAAGUAAGCCAGUGGGAGCUGGAAGCCGCCUAAGAGCCCCGGGGAGUGAAUUGGAGAAAAGAUGGACCGAGCUAAGCUGAACACUUAGGAAACAAAGAGAAAUGCAUCUCUGCCACCCAGAGCAUUGUGGCUGAGCCAAAGCGCCCAGAAUUCUUCACAAAACUGUACAAGGCCUUCGGUUGUUUUACAGAAAAACUGUGCAAAAUCACCCACAGAGCCUUCUUGUGUAUAAUAAAUCAUACAGAGAUUUGUCAGCAUACACUACCUGGGAAGGACAAAUGCUUGAUGGUCAGCCUGAAGCAGCAAUUUGGUUAUUGUCAAUGAUAACUCAAAGAGAGUUAAAAUAUUCCAUGUCUUAUUCUACAUCACCGCUCGAGGGAGAUUGUGCAGAGGACCCACGCUUUCCUAAAGGUAUCAGCCUGCUCAACCACACC